rnacentral:rRNA from 1 species
ACGGGAGACACACGGCGGGUGCUAACGUCCGUCGUGAAGAGGGAAACAACCCAGACCGCCAGCUAAGGUCCCAAAGUCAUGGUUAAGUGGGAAACGAUGUGGGAAGGCCCAGACAGCCAGGAUGUUGGCUUAGAAGCAGCCAUCAUUUAAAGAAAGCGUAAUAGCUCACUGGUCGAGUCGGCCUGCGCGGAAGAUGUAACGGGGCUAAACCAUGCACCGAAGCUGCGGCAGCGACGCUGAUGCGUUGUUGGGUAGGGGAGCGUUCUGUAAGCCUGCGAAGGUGUGCUGUGAGGCAUGCUGGAGGUAUCAGAAGUGCGAAUGCUGACAUAAGUAACGAUAAAGCGGGUGAAAAGCCCGCUCGCCGGAAGACCAAGGGUUCCUGUCCAACGUUAAUCGGGGCAGGGUGAGUCGACCCCUAAGGCGAGGCCGAAAGGCGUAGUCGAUGGGAAACAGGUUAAUAUUCCUGUACUUGGUGUUACUGCGAAGGGGGGACGGAGAAGGCUAUGUUGGCCGGGCGACGGUUGUCCCGGUUUAAGCGUGUAGGCUGGUUUUCCAGGCAAAUCCGGAAAAUCAAGGCUGAGGCGUGAUGACGAGGCACUACGGUGCUGAAGCAACAAAUGCCCUGCUUCCAGGAAAAGCCUCUAAGCAUCAGGUAACAUCAAAUCGUACCCCAAACCGACACAGGUGGUCAGGUAGAGAAUACCAAGGCGCUUGAGAGAACUCGGGUGAAGGAACUAGGCAAAAUGGUGCCGUAACU